rnacentral:rRNA from 1 species
AUCAUUACCUAGGUUUGCGGUUGCUCACUUCUAUACGUUGUAGAGCUCUGUGCCUUGCGUAUCUGCUUCACCCAUGAUCGUCUGAUACAAAACAAAAACCACGGCGGGUUCGCCCACCGAUUGAACAAAUUCCAACCCUUUGCGGUUGAAGUCACCGUCUGAAAAAACUUAAUACUUACAACUUUCAACAACGGAGGACUUGGUUCUGGCGGUUUUAAAUACCGCUCCGGAGUGCGAAAAUUAGUGUGAAUUGCAGAAUUCAGUGAAUCAUCUAAUCUUUGAACGCACAUUGCGCCCCUUGGUAUUCCAUGGGGCAUGCCUGUUCAAGCUUCUUUUGAACCUUCAAGCUUUGCUUGGUGUUGGGUGUUUGUCUCCUGAAAACUCGCCUUAAAACAAUUGGCAGCCGGCGUAUUGAUUUCGGAGCGCACUACAUCUCGCGCUUUGCACUCAUAACGACUACUUCCAAAAGUACAUUUUUACGCUCUUGACCUCGGAUCAGGUAGGGAUACCCGCUAAACUUAAGCAUAUCAAUAAGCGGAGGAAAAGAAACCAACCAAUCCUUAGGUUAAUGAGGCAAACCUAACCGAACUGAAACUUCUAAAUGCCCCAAGGAAAAGAAACCAACCAUAAACUCACUAUCAUUAACUGAAUCCUUAGGUGGAUGAGGGGGGACGAGCGGGAACUGAUACAUUUUUCGUACCCCAAGAAAACCAACCAUACCCA